rnacentral:rRNA from 1 species
UACGAAGGGUGCAAGCGUUACUCGGAAUUACUGGGCGUAAAGAAUGCGUAGGCGGUAUGAUAAGUCAGCAGUGAAAUCCCCGAGCUCAACUUGGGAACUGCUGUUGAAACUGUCAUUCUAGAGUAUGGUAGAGAGCGAGGGAAUUCUUGGUGUAGGGGUAAAAUCCGUAGAUAUCAGGAGGAAGACCAGAAGCGAAGGCGCUCGCUUGGGCCAUUACUGACGCUGUGGCAUGAAAGCGUGGGGAGCAAACAGG